UUCGCAAUGCCCGAAAGGGUGACGAUGCGACGCCGCGUGAGCGAAGAAGGCCCUAGGGUUGUAAAGCUCUGUCGAGGGUUAUGAAAUAUAGAUGGAUUAAUACCCCAUUUAUUUGACAAAAGCCCAAAAGGAAGCCACGGCUAACUCUGUGCCAGCAGCCGCGGUAAUACAGAGGUGGCGAGCGUUGUUCGGUAUUAUUGGGCGUAAAGAGCACGUAGGCGGCCUUGCAAGUCAGUUGUGAAAGCCUUCCGCUUAACGGAAGAACGGCAUCUGAUACUACAGGGCUUGAGUACGGGAGGGGAGAGUGGAACUUCUGGUGGAGCGGUGAAAUGCGUAGAUAUCAGAAGGAACGCCGGCGGCGAAAGCGACUCUCUGGCUCGAAACUGACGCUGAGUGUGCGAAAGCUAGGGGAGCAAACGGGAUUAGAUACCCCGGUAGUCCUAGCCGUAAACGAUGGGCACUAAGUAGAGGGGUUUU
rnacentral:rRNA from 1 species